rnacentral:rRNA from 1 species
AUUGAACGCUGGCGGCAUGCCUAAUACAUGCAAGUCGAACGGAAAGACGAGUAGCUUUCUUUGCUGAUGUUAGCGGGGGGGGGGUGAGUAACAUGUGAAUAUCCUUCCUAUAGGGGGGGGAUCCCUUCGAACAAGCGCAGAUACUACCGGAGAAUAUUUGGGACCACAUGGUUCAAGAGUGAACUAGGGUCUUGCUAUCACUUAUAGAUGGAUCCGCGCUGCAUUAGCUAGUUGGUGAGGUAACGGCUUACCAAGGCAACGAUGCAUAGCUGACCUGAGAGGGUGAUCGGCCACACUGGAACUGAGACACGGCCCAGACUCCUACGGGAGGCAGCAGUAGGGAAUCUUCCGCAAUGGGCGAAAGCCUGACGGAGCAAUGCCGCGUGAGUGAUGAAGGUCUUCGGAUCGUAAAACUCUGUUAUUAGGGAAGAACAUAUGUGUAAGUAACUGUGCACAUCUUGACGGUACCUAAACAGAAAGCCCCGGCUAACUACGUG